rnacentral:rRNA from 1 species
GAUGAACGCUGACAGAAUGCUUAACACAUGCAAGUCAACUGUGGCGGACGGGCGAGUAACGCGUAAAGAACUUGCCUCACAGUUAGGGACAACAUUUGGAAACGAAUGCUAAUAUCUGAUCCUGUGGGAGAGCUUUGCGUCCCAUUAGCUAGUUGGAGAGGUAACGGCUCAACAAGGCGAUGAUGGGUAGCCGGCCUGAGAGGGUGAUCGGCCACAUGGGGACUGAGACGCGAGCCUGAGUCCUAAUGGAGGCAGCAGUGGGGAAAUGAGGACAAUGGACCGAAGUCUGAACAAGGAAUUCUGUGUGCACGGUGAAGUUUUCGGAAUGUAAAGUGCUUUCAGUUGGGAAGCGGUACCAACAGAAGAGGUGACGGCUAAAUACGUGCCAGCAGCCGCGGUAAUAC